rnacentral:hammerhead_ribozyme from 1 species
AUUCAGCCGACGAGUCCCAAAUAGGACGAAAUGUGCGUCCUGGAU